rnacentral:rRNA from 1 species
AACGAACGCUGGCGGCAGGCUUAACACAUGCAAGUCGAGCGCCCCGCAAGGGGAGCGGCAGACGGGUGAGUAACGCGUGGGAAUCUACCCAUCCCUACGGAACAACUCCGGGAAACUGGAGCUAAUACCGUAUACGCCCUUUGGGGGAAAGAUUUAUCGGGGAUGGAUGAGCCCGCGUUGGAUUAGCUAGUUGGUGGGGUAAAGGCCUACCAAGGCGACGAUCCAUAGCUGGUCUGAGAGGAUGAUCAGCCACAUUGGGACUGAGACACGGCCCAAACUCCGACGGGAGGCAGCAGUGGGGAAUAUUGGACAAUGGGCGCAAGCCUGAUCCAGCCAUGCCGCGUGAGUGAUGAAGGCCCUAGGGUUGUAAAGCUCUUUCACCGAUGAAGAUAAUGACGGUAGUCGGAGAAGAAGCCCCGGCUAACUUCGUGCCAGCCGCCGCCGUAACAC